AAAAAAGCAACUCAUUUAUCAUUGUAAAUCCCACGAAGAAGCACUUCAAUAUAUUAAAAAAUAUGAGUUAGCAGCAACAACACGAUUUGUGGUGUUUAAGGCAAAUAAAAAUUUGAAAACUGAUAUUCUUACAAAGAUUCAUAAUGUACUUUGGGAUGAUUUUGCUAUUCCUUAUUCUGGGAUGCCUUUCAUAAUAGUUUCAAGUAAAGUUUUAGAUUGUCAUCAUGGGUUCGAUCGAAAUAUUUCAUUAUAAAAAAUAUCAAUAAAAGAAAAGAAAAACUAACAUGGAUGACCACUGCUUUCAAAAAAACUACGUUAUUUUACAAGAUACCAAAAAGUUCAUGUGUCCUGCAAAAAUCAAUAUGAGAGAAAUAUUGCAAUUUCCUGAUUUUAGGAUAUCAGAGAGGUCUGUAUGGCGUCAAAAUAAAGCCUCAAAACUGUUGCGUAAAAAACUAAAAACCUCUGCAUUGAAUGAAAUAUUGCAUAUAAGAACAAUUGUAGUUACUAUUGAUGAUGUAUCAUGCCAUGAUAAACAUCUUGUUGGACCAGCUGAACUGAUAGCUCAAAGUAUUGAUCCUCUAAUUUCCAAAAAAAAUAGAAGAUUAUGUUAUGGAAGGAGUCUUCAAUGUAAGAGAGACGAAACGUCUCCUUCAGAUUGCUGUCAAUAACAUUUUUGAAAAAGAAAAUCUUCCUCCCCCAAAUAACAAAAGGUUCUUCCCUCGUGUUGAUACAAUAAGGUCACAUAUCGUUAAAAUCAAACAAAACUGCUCCAGGGUCAAUUUGCGACUCAAUUUGCAAAUCAAGACCUGCUUCAAUUCAAAAAUCUUUGGCUGCUCCAGGGUCAAUUUGCGAUUCAAUUUACAAAUCAAGACCUGCUUCAAUUUGAAACUAAAAAUGCUGAUUUGCAGGGCCCAAAUAUAUAUAUAUAUAUAUAUAUA